rnacentral:rRNA from 1 species
GACGAACGCUGGCGGCGUGCCUAAUGCAUGCAAGUCGAACGCAGCAUUUUCGGAUGCUGAGUGGCGCACGGCUGAGGAUCACGUGGGUACCUGCCCUCUCGUGGGGGAUAACAGCGCGAAAGCGCUGCUAAGCCCGCAUACGCUCAUCCUGUUUGGGGUGAGGAAAACGGUAACGUGCGGGAGGAGGGGCCUGCGGCCCAUCAGGUAGUCGGCGGGGUAACGGCCCACCGAGCCGAUGACGGGUAGCUGGUCUGUGAGGACAGACAGCCAGACUGGGACUGAGACACGGCCCAGACUCCUACGGGAGGCAGCAGCAAGGAAUUUUCCCCAAUGGGCGCAAGCCUGAGGGAGCAACGCCGCGUGGAGGACGACGGCCUUCGGGUUGUAAACUCCUUUUCGGAGGGAAGAUGAGGACGGUACCUCCGGAAUCAGCCCCGGCUAACUCUGUGCCAGCCGCCGCCGUAACAC